rnacentral:rRNA from 1 species
GGAAUAUUGGACAAUGGGCGCAAGCCUGAUCCAGCAACGCCGCGUGAGGGAUGACGGCCUUCGGGUUGUAAACCUCUUUCAGCAGGGACGAAGCGAACGUGAAGGUACCAGCAGAAGAAGGACCGGUCAACUCCGUUCCAGCAGCCGCGGUAAUACGUAGGGUCCGAGCGUUGUCCGGAAUUAUUGGGCGUAAAGGGCUCGUAGGCGGUUAGUCACGUCGGGAGUGAAAACUCAGGGCUCAACCCUGAGCGUGCUGCCGAUACGGGCUGACUAGAGGUAUGCAGGGGAGAACGGAAUUCCUGGUGUAGCGGUGGAAUGCGCAGAUAUCAGGAGGAACACCGGUGGCGAAGGCGGUUCUCUGGGCAUUACCUGACGCUGAGGAGCGAAAGCAUGGGGAGCGA